GUACAAUUCCUCCCUUAUAUGACUUAGAUCUUUUACCUGCAGUUUCUCAUGAUUUAAGUAGUCUAAUUUCUAUUACAUGUUUCAACAUAUUUGCUUCUUUAUUAUAUUCUCUGGUGAGAUCUGCAUCUAUUAAUUUUUUUUAAAACUAAGAGUCAAAUAUUCUUGCUUCUUUAGGUGUUUCAGUUUGUCACGGUAGAUGUCUAAGACACAGUACAGUCUGGAGAAAAUAUUCCCAGGAAAGGGUAUGGCUGUCCUACUGACAGAUUCCUAAGAAGGUCUGAGUCAGUCUGAGCUGUUUUCUACACUGGGAUGCACAUCACCAUGGCUUCAGUGAGAAUCAUCAUCACCUCAUGCAUCAGUCCUGGAGGCACUCACCUUCGCUUGUCCCAUGAAACUCCUGCCAAAGUCCUGACUGACAGGUGGCAUUAUUAGUACUGACCUCACUAUCAGCGUGUACAUCGCCGGUUGAUCAUCCCUACACUGUCAUGGCAAUGACGGAUGACGGAUGAUGGAUGAUGGAGAAGCCUCCCAUUGGAAGAAGCAAGGUGCACGGACUGGAGUGAUAAUGAGGAGCCUAGCACAAGCCCAGCGUGCACAGUGGUAGGCAUUUUCCCCUGAAUAAAAACUCCAUGUGUACUUCUCUGUAAACUGAG
rnacentral:lncRNA from 1 species